AGUGAACGCUGGCGGUAGGCCUAACACAUGCAAGUCGAACGGCAGCACAGUAAGAGCUUGCUCUUACGGGUGGCGAGUGGGGGACGGGUGAGGAAUACAUCGGCCUCUACUUUUUCGUGGGGGAUAACGAAGGGAAACUUACGCUAAUACCGCAUACGACCUACGGGUGAAAGCAGGGGAUCUUCGGACCUUGCGCGAUUGAAUGAGCCGAUGUCGGAUUAGCUGGUUGGCGGGGUAAAGGCCCACCAAGGCGGCGAUCCGUAGCUGGUCUGAGAGGAGGGUCGCCCACAUGGGAACGGGGACACGGUCCAGGCGCCUGCGGAGGGGCGCAGUCGCGUAUAUGGGACAAUGGGCGCAAGCCUGAUCCAACCAUACCGCGUGGGUGAAGAAGGCCUUCGGGGUGGAAAGCCCUUUUGUUGGGAAAGAAAAGCAUUAGGUUAAUACCCCGCGGUACUGACGGUAACCAAUGAAUAAGCACCGGCUAACUUCGUG
rnacentral:rRNA from 1 species